AUGAACGCUGGCGGCGUGCCUAAUCCAUGCAAGUCGCGCGAACAGACGAGAAGCUUGCUCCUCUGACGUUAGCGGCGGACGGGUGAGUAACACGUGGAUAACCUACCUAUAAGACUGGGAUAACUUCGGGAAACCGGAGCUAAUACCGGAUAAUAUAUUGAACCGCAUGGUUCAAUAGUGAAAGACGGUUUUGCUGUCACUUAUAGAUGGAUCCGCGCCGCAUUAGCUAGUUGGUAAGGUAACGGCUUACCAAGGCAACGAUGCGUAGCCGACCUGAGAGGGUGAUCGGCCACACUGGAACUGAGACACGGUCCAGACUCCUACGGGAGGCAGCAGUAGGGAAUCUUCCGCAAUGGGCGAAAGCCUGACGGAGCAACGCCGCGUGAGUGAUGAAGGUCUUCGGAUCGUAAAACUCUGUUAUUAGGGAAGAACAAAUGUGUAAGUAACUAUGCACGUCUUGACGGUACCUAAUCAGAAAGCCACGGCUAACUACGUG
rnacentral:rRNA from 1 species